rnacentral:rRNA from 1 species
ACUCAAAUGAAUUGACGGGGGCCCGCACAAGCAGUGGAGUAUGUGGUUUAAUUCGAAGCAACGCGAAGAACCUUACCAGGGCUUGACAUAUACCUUAAUUAGUGGGAAACUGCUAAGCUUUUCGGAGAAGGUAUACAGGUGGUGCAUGGUUGUCGUCAGCUCGUGUCGUGAGAUGUUGGGUUAAGUCCCGCAACGAGCGCAACCCCUGUGAUUAGUUGCUAACACGAUAAGGUGAGGACUCUAAUCAGACUGCCGGUGAUAAAUCGGAGGAAGGUGGGGACGAUGUCAAAUCAUCAUGCCCUUUAUGUCCUGGGCAACACACGUACUACAAUGGUCGUUACAAAGAGAAACGAAGCAGAGAUGCAGAGUAAAACUGAAAAAAGCGAUCUCAGUUCGGAUUGAAGGCUGAAAUUCGCCUUCAUGAAGUUGGAAUUGCUAGUAAUGGUAGGUCAGCAUACUACCGUGAAUACGUUCCCGGGCCUUGCACACACCGCCCGU